rnacentral:lncRNA from 1 species
CCAGUUGUAGAGAGGGAGGAGUGAUGAGCAAAGGGGUCAAGACCAGGCUGGAGAAACCCACAGAAACAGCUGAUCUGAACAAGGGGGUGCUCAUGGAUCCCAGACUGAUAGCUGGGAAACCAGCAUAGGACUGAUCCAGACCCCCUGAAUGAGGAUGUCAGUUUGGAGGUCUGGGGAGCAUAAAGGGGAUGGGAUAAGGGAUCAGUGGGGGGCAGGGGAGGAGGGUAGGGAGAGGAAACUGGGAUUGACAUGCAAAAGAAGCUUGUUUCUAAUUUAAAUAAAAAAAAAAAAGAAUUAAGACUAAUCCAAUCCUUGUAGGAAACAGUUAUCUUUCUGGUUGUCUGCAGUCUCCAUAUCUUGGUUGUCUUCUCCUACAGACCUUUUGUUCUGCUGUCGUCUGUCCUCUAAUAAAGUAAGGAAUCUGGCCAGUGUUUUUGUAAGGGCAAUUGUUUCCUUGUGUAAAAGGCAUUGUAGGUCUGGAAAACUCAGCUAAAGAAUGGAGUGGAAGAUAGCCAAUCUCGGUACUGGACCGACCACAUUCCACACAGGUCAUUGUUUAGCUUACCACCAUUAACUUUCUUUGUUAGUUAACUCUAAGCAUGAGUUUGCAGAAAUAUCUCUCAUCAUUGUGACUCAGCAUAUUUCAGAGAGUGUGUAUCUUACAGUAGUGAAAGUGGUCAGGCUGGUAAUAAUGGCUAGAAGAAAAUCAAGGAUACAAUCUGUAGAAGAAAAAAAAAGUGGCCACACAGUCCCAUAUUCUGAUGAUAGGCUGCUGGCUGCAGUGCUGUUUCCAACUGUUUCCUGGUCCUCCCUGCUUUGCCAGUGGCCAUAGUGAACUUGCUGAUGGACGUAAAUGCAACUUGAAGGAGUUCCAGGAAUUACGAAAACCAACACAUAUUGGUUCAAGGUGAAAUGGAGUUUUAAUGAAGAUGGUCAGGGUGGAGGAAGGCUCAGCAUGGGUAUAGAAGAAGAUGGAACAGAAAACUGUCAAAGAGGGAAGCGUGGGGCCUCGCUCGAAGGUGAACUUCCUCCUGUGGGUGGGUGCAGAUAUCUGUGCCAUGAGAAACAUGGAAAUUAGUGAAUGCAAAGAAAGCAGAAGUAGCUUCCCCAGCUACUUAAACUGCUGAGUGCCGUUCCCUUAGCCAUACUGCAAAUGAAACAUUGCCUUGCAUUGUCUGUCAGGGAAUUGGUGUUUUCCUUAAGUUUGCUAGUGUUCAGAAGCAUCAAUAGAAUUCUGCAUGUUGCUCAAAUCUAAACCAUGUGAACUUAUGAGAAGAUUUAUGCAUCUGAAGUGUUCUGCUGAUACUCUGGUGUCAUAACUGAAGUAUCCUAAACAUUCGUUUAUUUAGCUAUUUUACAAAAUAAAACUUGUGCCUCUUUCUCUGUGUCA